rnacentral:rRNA from 1 species
UUGAACGCUGGCGGCAUGCCUUACCCCUGCAAGUCGAACGGUAACGGGCCUUCGGGUGCCGACGAGUGGCGAACGGGUGAGUAAUACAUCGGAACGUGCCCGAUCGUGGGGGAUAACGAGGCGAAAGCUUUGCUAAUACCGCAUACGAUCUACGGAUGAAAGCAGGGGACCGCAAGGCCUUGCGCGGACGGAGCGGCCGAUGGCAGAUUAGGUAGUUGGUGGGAUAAAAGCUUACCAAGCCGACGAUCUGUAGCUGGUCUGAGAGGAUGAUCAGCCACACUGGGACUGAGACACGGCCCAGACUCCUACGGGAGGCAGCAGUGGGGAAUUUUGGACAAUGGGCGCAAGCCUGAUCCAGCCAUGCCGCGUGCAGGAUGAAGGCCUUCGGGUUGUAAACUGCUUUUGUACGGAACGAAAAGCCUUCUUUUAAUACAGGAGGGUCAUGACGGUACCGUAAGAAUAAGCACCGGCUAACUACGUG